UAGGGAAUCUUCCGCAAUGGGCGAAAGCUUGACGGAGCAACGCCGCGUGAGUGAUGAAGGUCUUCGGAUCGUAAAACUCUGUUAUUAGGGAAGAACAAAUGUGUAAGUAACUAUGCACGUCUUGACGGUACCUAAUCAGAAAGCCACGGCUAACUACGUGCCAGCAGCCGCGGUAAUACGUAGGUGGCAAGCGUUAUCCGGAAUUAUUGGGCGUAAAGCGCGCGUAGGCGGUUUUUUAAGUCUGACGUGAAAGCCCACGGCUCAACCGUGGAGGGUCAUUGGAAACUGGAAAACUUGAGUGCAGAAGAGGAAAGUGGAAUUCCAUGUGAAGCGGUGAAAUGCGCAGAGAUAUGGAGGAACACCAGUGGCGAAGGCGACUUUCUGGUCUGUAACUGACGCUGAUGUGCGAAAGCGUGGGGAUCAAACAGG
rnacentral:rRNA from 1 species